GACGAACGCUGGCGGCGUGCCUAACACAUGCAUGUCGAACGGGGUGAAGAGCUUCGGCUUUUCACUUAGUGGCGAACGGGUGAGUAACGCGUGAGAAACCUGCCUUUCAGUGGGGGACAACAGUUGGAAACGACUGCUAAUACCGCAUAAUGCAUUUAGGGGGCAUCCCUUGAAUGCCAAAGCUUUAUGUGCUGAAAGAUGGUCUCGCGUCUGAUUAGCUAGAUGGCGGGGUAACGGCCCACCAUGGCGACGAUCAGUAGCCGGUCUGAGAGGAUGAACGGCCACAUUGGGACUGAGAUACGGCCCAG
rnacentral:rRNA from 1 species